UACAGAGGGUCCCGAGCGUUGUUCGGAUUCACUGGGCGUAAAGGGUGCGUAGGUGGUGAGGUAAGUCGGAUGUGAAAUCUCUGAGCUUAACUCAGAAAACUGCCAUGGAUACUAUUUGUCUUGAAUGUUUGUGGAGGUAAGCGGGAAUAUGUCAUGUAGCGGUGAAAAUGCUUAGAUAUGACAUAGAACACCAAUUGCGAAAGGCAGCUUACUACACAAAUAUUGACGCUGAGGCACGAAAGCGUGGGGAUCAAACAGG
rnacentral:rRNA from 1 species